UGAGUAACGCGUAUGCAACCUACCUAUCGAGAGGGGAACUAACCCGGCGAAAGUCGGACUAAUACCGACAUAAAACAGGGGCACCGCAUGGUGAUAUUUGUUAAAGAAAUUCGCUGAUAGAUGGGCAUGCGUUCCAUUAGGUAGUUGGUGAGGUAACGGCUCACCAAGCCGACGAUGGAUAGGGAACUGAGAGGUUGGUCCCCCACACUGGUACUGAGACACGGACCAGACUCCUACGGGAGGCAGCAGUGAGGAAUAUUGGUCAAUGGGCGGGAGCCUGAACCAGCCAAGUCGCGUGAAGGAAGAAGGAUCUAUGGUUCGUAAACUUCUUUUGCAGGGGAAUAAAGUGCAGGACGUGUCCUGUUUUGUAUGUACCCUGAGAAUAAGGAUCGGCUAACUCCGUGCCAGCAGCCGC
rnacentral:rRNA from 1 species